CCUACGGGAGGCAGCAGUGGGGAAUAUUGGACAAUGGGGGCAACCCUGAUCCAGCAAUUCUGUGUGCACGAAGAAGGUUUUCGGAUCGUAAAGUGCUUUCAGCAGGGAGGAAGGAAGUGACUGUACCUGCAGAAGAAGCGACGGCUAAAUACGUGCCAGCAGCCGCGGUAAUACGUAUGUCGCGAGCGUUAUCCGGAAUUAUUGGGCAUAAAGGGCAUCUAGGCGGCCGGGUAAGUCCGGGGUGAAAACUGCUGGCUCAACCAGCAGCCUGCCUUGGAAACUACCCGGCUGGAGUGCUGGAGAGGUGGACGGAACUGCACGAGUAGAGGUGAAAUUCGUAGAUAUGUGCAGGAAUGCCGAUGAUGAAGAUAGUUCACUGGACGGCAACUGACGCUGAAGUGCGAAAGCUAGGGGAGCGAACAGGAUUAGAUACCCUGGUAGUCCUAGCUGUAAACGAUGAUUACUGGGUGUGGGCAUGAAGAGUGUCCGUGCCGAAGCUAAUGCGAUAAGUAAUCCGCCUGGGGAGUACGGCCGCAAGGCUGAAACUCAAAGGAAUUGACGG
rnacentral:rRNA from 1 species